GGCGACACAGCAUUUCCCACAAGCCUCUGCGGUCCAUUCUCUAGGGACCUAAGGAGAUUUUUCUUUUUCUUUUUUUCUCAGCACGGAUUCUUGUUACCUGGAGAACAGGCCCUGAUGGAUCAAGACUAGUCUCUUUCCAGGUGGUUACGAGACUUCAAGCCAGUCGAAUCCUACCUGAGGACCAAAGGUGGUUUUGAGGUGCUCUGUCAGCCUGGAAACCCACCGUAAGGACAGACAGAUGGCAGGGCCAUUACGUGCUGUGACUCAGCCACACCACCCAUGGGAAUGGAGUCAGUGUGAUCACACUCACUAAUCACCAAGAAAGGGAAACAAAACAAACAAGAAAACAGAGAAGCAGCAUCCACAGCACAGGAAACCAGAGGCCGUCAGCUUCUGCUCUCUUCCCAGGACUGAGAGCUGCAGGCUCAGAAGCCAGACCACCUGGGCUCAAUCCUGACACUGGCACUUUAGAAGAACAUGCACUGAGGUCUCAGCUGAUAUGUCACUUCUUUGCAGAGGCUUUUCCUAACCACCCAACGGUCUGUGUUGAAUAUCCUGUGGGUCAGGACAUUUUUGGUGCCCAAACGUGGGGCACUGGAUACGGGGGACACCGUGAGGAAGACAGCACAUCAGAGGGUCGACCACUGAAAAUGAAAGAGUAAAACCUUCGUCU